GGUCAUGGCUUAAUGGUAGAGUUUCUGCUUUGCAUGCAUAAGACUCCUGGUUUAAUCUCUAGGUAGGGUUU